GAUGAACGCUAGCUACAGGCUUAACACAUGCAAGUCGAGGGGUAACGAGAGGAAAGCUUGCUUUCCUUGUCGACGACCGGCGCACGGGUGAGUAACGCGUAUCCAACCUGCCCCCAACUAGGGAAUAACCUUGCGAAAGUAAGACUAAUACCCUAUAAUUUCCUCAGAUGUCAUCUGACGAGGAAUAAAGAUUUAUCGGUUGUGGAUGGGGAUGCGUCUGAUUAGCUUGUUGGCGGGGUAACGGCCCACCAAGGCAACGAUCAGUAGGGGUUCUGAGAGGAAGGUCCCCCACAUUGGAACUGAGACACGGUCCAAACUCCUACGGGAGGCAGCAGUGAGGAAUAUUGGUCAAUGGGCGGAAGCCUGAACCAGCCAAGUAGCGUGCAGGAUGACGGCCCUAUGGGUUGUAAACUGCUUUUAUACAGGAAUAAAGUUAACCACGUGUGGUUAUUUGUAGGUACUGUAUGAAUAAGGACCGGCUAAUUCCGUGCCAGCAGCCGCAGUAA
rnacentral:rRNA from 1 species